CAAGUCGUACGAAGACCUUCGGUCUUAGUGGCGGACGGGUGAGUAACACGUGAGAAUCUGCCCUUAGGAAGAGAAUAACAAUUGGAAACGGUUGCUAAUACUCUAUAUGCCGAGAGGUAAAAGGACUUAUCCACCUUAGGAAGAGCUCGCGUCUGAUUAGCUAGUUGGUAAGGUAAUGGCUUACCAAGGCGACGAUCAGUAGCUGGUUUGAGAGGACGACCAGCCACACUGGGACUGAGACACGGCCCAGACUCCUACGGGAGGCAGCAGUGGGGAAUUUUCCGCAAUGGGCGAAAGCCUGACGGAGCAAUACCGCGUGAGGGAUGACGGCCUGUGGGUUGUAAACCUCUUUUCUCAAGGAAGAAGUUCUGACGGUACUUGAGGAAUAAGCAUCGGCUAACUCUGUGCCAGCAGCCGCGGUAAUACAGAGGAUGCAAGCGUUAUCCGGAAUCACUGGGCAUAAAGCGUCUGUAGGUUGCUUGCCAAGUCUGCUGUUAAAGACUAGGGCCUAACCCUGGGAAAGCAGUGGAAACUAGCAGGCUUGAGUGUGGUAGAGGUAGAGGGAAUUCCUGGUGUAGCGGUGAAAUGCGUAGAUAUUAGGAAGAACACCAAUGGCGAAAGCACUCUGCUGGGCCACAACUGACACUGAGAGACGACAGCUAGGGGAGCAAAUGGGAUUAGAUACCCCAGUAGUCCUAGCCGUAAACGAUGGAUACUAGGUGUUGCACGUAUUAACCCGUGCAGUAUCGUAGCUAAGGCGUUAAGUAUCCCGCCUGGGAAAGUACGCUCGCAAGAGUGAAACUCAAGGGAAUUUGACGG
rnacentral:rRNA from 1 species